AGAUGCAGGUGUGGAUUUCUGAAUGGGAGCUGAAGACUUACUGGUAGCAUGAUCUGUUGAAUCAUGAAGUACAUGAUAAGUAGGCUACUCUGACUUCUACUCUGGCUGGAAUUCGCAUUGAUUGUUUUGUUUUUGCUCUCUGAUAUUUCACACAGGCAUAGCCAAAUAAACAGUCAAAUGAUGUUAGAGAAAAAAUGUUUAGUUAAUGUGUUGCCUUUAACAGAAUAAUAUUUAAUUUUUUACUCGGCUACAUUUUAGAAAUCAUAUCGUUCCUCAUUAUUUCGAAAUGAAGAAAUCGCAACGCUCCGAAAUCGAGACGUCCGAUUCAUGCGAUCGAAUGAAUGAAUCAUUUUCGCCGAACCUGCUGAAAUGGUUCACAAUUUGCAGUUAACAAUUCAUUGGCGCAGUCGACAACUGAAUGAAGGAUUUGACUGAUGGCGCGAAAAUGAUAAAUGACAACAUCCAUCAUGUAAGAGCCAAGAGGAACGUCAUCAGUUCUGAUGGUUAAUGACGAGGAAGGUCCGUCGCACACCUGCCAGUAUUUACCUGUCAGACACAAUAGAGGAUUGUCAGGAACGUUAGAUGACUGCAUAUAACAGUACACUUGUCCAUCUGGCAGGACCUUCUGGUUGUGAGGGAACACAAUGUCAAUGGUGAAGGUGAUUUUGGCACCAGUCAAAGUGGGUGCAUCAUUUCCCACAUCAAACUUCAGUUGCCC